rnacentral:rRNA from 1 species
UACCCCGCCGGAAAUUAAGCAUAUCAAUAAGCGGUGGAAAAGAAACCAACUGGGAUUCCCUUAGUAACGGCGAGCGAACAGGGAUGAGCCCACCAUGAAAAUCUCCAGCCUUUGGCUGGCGAAUUGUAGUCUGGAGAAGCACUCCCUGGGUGGGGUCUGGCCGAAGUAUACUGGAAGGUAUCGCUCGAGAGGGUGAGAGCCCCGUAGGCCAGCCCCCCCACCCUUCACGGGAUGUUUUCAGAGAGUCGGGUUGUUUGGGAAUGCAGCCCCAAUUGGGUGGUAAACCCCAUCUAAGGCUAAAUACCAAUGGGAGACCGAUAGCGAAAAAGUACCUCGAGGGAACGAUGAAAAGACCGCUGGCAAGCGAGUAAAAGAGUGCAUGAAAUUGUGUAGUGGGAAGGGAUGGCCCGGUCACAUGCGCUCGGGUUGAUGCAGCUCGUCAGAGCUGCUGUUUGCACCAAGCGCCUGCUGGUACCGGCGCGCCCGGCCGUACAACCCCCCGCUGAGGUGUGGGACACUGCGGUCGGGCGUGCCGAGGAACGAUCAGAGGCUCCGCCCCCUCGGGGAGCUGCCCUGACGAGGUACCAGCCAAGCCGGUCCAUCUGCCCGUCUUGAAAACACGGAA